rnacentral:rRNA from 1 species
CGCCUACAACAUAACGUUGAUGCACCAGAUCCCAUUAGAACUCCGCAGUUAAGUGCACUUGGGCUAGAGUAGUACUGGGAUGGGUGAUCACCCAGGAAGUCCUAGUAUUUUACAUGC